GCAGGGGGGUGCUAUACAUGCAGUCGAGCGGACAGAUGGGAGCUUGCUCCCUGAUGUUAGCGGCGGACGGGUGAGUAACACGUGGGUAACCUGCCUGUAAGACUGGGAUAACUCCGGGAAACCGGGGCUAAUACCGGAUGGUUGUUUGAACCGCAUGGUUCAGACAUAAAAGGUGGCUUCGGCUACCACUUACAGAUGGACCCGCGGCGCAUUAGCUAGUUGGUGAGGUAACGGCUCACCAAGGCGACGAUGCGUAGCCGACCUGAGAGGGUGAUCGGCCACACUGGGACUGAGACACGGCCCAGACUCCUACGGGAGGCAGCAGUAGGGAAUCUUCCGCAAUGGACGAAAGUCUGACGGAGCAACGCCGCGUGAGUGAUGAAGGUUUUCGGAUCGUAAAGCUCUGUUGUUAGGGAAGAACAAGUGCCGUUCAAAUAGGGCGGCACCUUGACGGUACCUAACCAGAAAGCCACGGCUAACUACGUGCCAGCAGCCGCGGUAAUACGUAGGUGGCAAGCGUUGUCCGGAAUUAUUGGGCGUAAAGGGCUCGCAGGCGGUUUCUUAAGUCUGAUGUGAAAGCCCCCGGCUCAACCGGGGAGGGUCAUUGGAAACUGGGGAACUUGAGUGCAGAAGAGGAGAGUGGAAUUCCACGUGUAGCGGUGAAAUGCGUAGAGAUGUGGAGGAACACCAGUGGCGAAGGCGACUCUCUGGUCUGUAACUGACGCUGAGGAGCGAAAGCGUGGGGAGCGAACAGGAUUAGAUACCCUGGUAGUCCACGCCGUAAACGAUGAGUGCUAAGUGUUAGGGGGUUUCCGCCCCUUAGUGCUGCAGCUAACGCAUUAAGCACUCCGCCUGGGGAGUACGGUCGCAAGACUGAAACUCAAAGGAAUUGACGGGGGCCCGCACAAGCGGUGGAGCAUGUGGUUUAAUUCGAAGCAACGCGAAGAACCUUACCAGGUCUUGACAUCCUCUGACAAUCCUAGAGAUAGGACGUCCCCUUCGGGGGCAGAGUGACAGGUGGUGCAUGGUUGUCGUCAGCUCGUGUCGUGAGAUGUUGGGUUAAGUCCCGCAACGAGCGCAACCCUUGAUCUUAGUUGCCAGCAUUCAGUUGGGCACUCUAAGGUGACUGCCGGUGACAAACCGGAAGAAAGGUGGGGGAUGACGUCAAAUCAUCAUGCCCCUUAUGACCUGGGGUUACACA
rnacentral:rRNA from 2 species